CAACCUCAACUCAUAUGGGACUACCCCCUGAAUUUAAGCAUAUUAAUUAGGGGAGGAAAAGAAACUAACAAGGAUUUUCUUAGUAGCGGCGAGCGAAAAGAAAACAGUUCAGCACUAAGUCACUUUGUCUAUAUGGCAAAUGUGAGAUGCAGUGUAUGGAGCGUCAAUAUUCUAGUAUGAGAAAUUAAUGAUUUAAGUCCUUCUUAAAUGAGGCCAUUUACCCAUAGAGGGUGCCAGGCCCGUAUAACGUUAAUGAUUGCUAGAUGAUGUUUCCAAAGAGUCGUGUUGCUUGAUAGUGCAGCACUAAGUGGGUGGUAAACUCCAUCUAAAACUAAAUAUAACCAUGAGACCGAUAGUAAACAAGUACCGUGAGGGAAAGUUGAAAAGAACUCUGAAUAGAGAGUUAAACAGUACGUGAAACUGCUUAGAGGUUAAGCCCGAUGAACCUGAAUAUCCGUUAUGGAAAAUUCAUCAUUAAAAUUGUAAUAUUUAAAUAAUAUUAUUAAGAAUAAUGUGCAUUUUUUCCAUAUAAGGACAUUGUAAUCUAUUAGCAUAUCCCAAAUUUAUCAUAAAAUAUAACUUAUAGUUUAUUCCAAUUAAAUUGCUUGCAUUUUAACACAGAAUAAAUGUUAUUAAUUUGAUAAAGUGCUGAUAGAUUUAUAUUAUUACAGAGCGUUAAUUUUUCGGAAUUAUAUAAUGGCAUAAUUAUCAUUGAUUUU
rnacentral:ncRNA from 1 species